rnacentral:rRNA from 1 species
GACGAACGCUGGGGGCGUGCUUAACACAUGCAAGUCGAACGGAAAGACCCUGCUUUUGUGGGGUGCUCGAGUGGCGAACGGGUGAGUAACACGUGAGUAACCUGCCCUUGACUUUGGGAUAACUUCAGGAAACUGGGGCUAAUACCGGAUAGGAGCUCCUGCUGCAUGGUGGGGGUUGGAAAGUUUCGGCGGUUGGGGAUGGACUCGCGGCUUAUCAGCUUGUUGGUGGGGUAGUGGCUUACCAAGGCUUUGACGGGUAGCCGGCCUGAGAGGGUGACCGGCCACAUUGGGACUGAGAUACGGCCCAGACUCCUACGGGAGGCAGCAGUGGGGAAUAUUGCACAAUGGGCGGAAGCCUGAUGCAGCAACGCCGCGUGCGGGAUGACGGCCUUCGGGUUGUAAACCGCUUUCGCCUGUGACGAAGCGUGAGUGACGGUAAUGGGUAAAGAAGCACCGGCUAACUACGUG